rnacentral:rRNA from 2 species
GACGGAAAGACCCCGUGAACCUUUACUAUAGCUUGACACUGAACAUUGAGCCUUGAUGUGUAGGAUAGGUGGGAGGCUUUGAAGUGUGGACGCCAGUCUGCAUGGAGCCGACCUUGAAAUACCACCCUUUAAUGUUUGAUGUUCUAACGUGGACCCGUUACCCGGGUUGCGGACAGUGUCUGGUGGGUAGUUUGACUGGGGCGGUCUCCUCCUAAAGAGUAACGGAGGAGCACGAAGGUUGGCUAAUCCUGGUCGGACAUCAGGAGGUUAGUGCAAUGGCAUAAGCCAGCUUGACUGCGAGCGUGACGGCGCGAGCAGGUGCGAAAGCAGGUCAUAGUGAUCCGGUGGUUCUGAAUGGAAGGGCCAUCGCUCAACGGAUAAAAGGUACUCCGGGGAUAACAGGCUGAUACCGCCCAAGAGUUCAUAUCGACGGCGGUGUUUGGCACCUCGAUGUCGGCUCAUCACAUCCUGGGGCUGAAGUAGGUCCCAAGGGUAUGGCUGUUCGCCAUUUAAAGUGGUACGCGAGCUGGGUUUAGAACGUCGUGAGACAGUUCGGUCCCUAUCUGCCGUGGGCGCUGGAGAACUGAGGGGGGCUGCUCCUAGUACGAGAGGACCGGAGUGGACGCAUCACUGGUGUUCGGGUUGUCAUGCCAAUGGCACUGCCCGGUAGCUAAAUGCGGAAGAGAUAAGUGCUGAAAGCAUCUAAGCACGAAACUUGCCCCGA